rnacentral:rRNA from 1 species
UACACACCGCCCGUCACGCCAUGGGAGUCGGUAGCACCCGAAGUCGUCGGCCUAACCCGCAAGGGACGGAGACGCCUAAGGUGAGAUCGAUGACUGGGGCG